UUUGUGCGGCCGCAGAGGAGCAGGAGGUGGGGGAAGAGACACAGGAGAGAGAGGAAGAGCAGCCGGGCUGGCAGGAUCCGGCAGCGACCCCCGCCCCGCACGGCGGAGGGGACGGGCCCCGAGAAGGGGGAUGGGGGGACAAGUGACACCCCCUCCUCCCCCCUCCCCCAAAAAAAAAGGCGGGUCCGGGGCGCACGUGCGCGCAGCUCGAGGUAGUUUCUUCUGUUCCAGCACUUCUUACCUGGGAGAAGGGACCGACAACCCCUCGCUACAACCUCCUUUCAGAGAACAUAGUGCCCCAUAGUGACCUGAGGGGCACAGGAGAUCCCAGCACCAAGCACCUUUAGGAAGUCAUUCAUAUUUAUUUGUAUAAUUAAUUGAUUUUCGGGUUCCUCCGUGUUGCUCUCCUGGAGCAUUUCAAGCUCAAGACACAGAAGCUGUUUCUCCAGGAGCCGCUGAGGCGUGUUUGACCGAUGGUUUUGACAGUAGAGAUGAAUCGAGGGCUUGGCACCCGCAGGCCUGACCUGGAAUUUGAACUCAGUUCCCUCCCUUCUUUCAGAGAGGGGUGGAAAAAUCUCAGGAUCUUCUGAUUGCCAUUGAUCUGAGAUGGUUUGCUGAGCAGUGGCUUCGUACCGUGCCCGUGUGCUGCUCCGUGAGAGGAUUCCAAUCAGGAAAAAAAAAAACAACCCUUAAGUGUCUGGAGGGGUGAUAACCGGAUGCUCAGAUCUAACAUUUCUUCAGCUUUUUAGCCAUUGCCUCUGUUACCAGCACCUCGUUUAAAAAGAUAACAAUAAAAUCAUGAAACAUAAAGAGAACUGUGAGAUAAAGAAAAAAAAACAAACGAACACUGCUGAUUUUUAGCCCUGACUUAGGGGUUUUUUUUCC